rnacentral:rRNA from 1 species
GACGAACGCUGGCGGCGUGCCUAACACAUGCAAGUCGAGCGGGGAUUUAAGUGGAAGUUCUUCGGAAUGGAGAUUUAAAUUCUAGCGGCGGACGGGUGAGUAACGCGUGAACAAUCUGUCCCGGACAGGGGGAUAACACUUGGAAACGGGUGCUAAUACCGCAUAAGACCACGGCCUCGCAUGGGGCUGAGGUAAAAGGAGCAAUCCGGUUCGGGGUGAGUUCGCGUCCGAUUAGCUAGUUGGUGAGGUAACGGCCCACCAAGGCGACGAUCGGUAGCCGGCCUGAGAGGGUGAACGGCCACAUUGGAACUGAGAGACGGUCCAAACUCCUACGGGAGGCAGCAGUGGGGAAUAUUGGGCAAUGGGCGAAAGCCUGACCCAGCAACGCCGCGUGAGGGAAGAAGGUUUUCGGAUUGUAAACCUCUGUCCUAUGGGACGAAGGAAGUGACGGUACCAUAGGAGGAAGCCCCGGCUAACUACGUG